rnacentral:rRNA from 1 species
UACGUAGGGUGCGAGCGUUGUCCGGAAUUAUUGGGCGUAAAGAGCUCGUAGGCGGUUUGUCGCGUCGAAUGUGAAAACCCGGGGCUCAACCCCGGGCCUGCAUUCGAUACGGGCAGACUAGAGUUCGGUAGGGGAGUCUGGAAUUCCUGGUGUAGCGGUGAAAUGCGCAGAUAUCAGGAGGAACACCGGUGGCGAAGGCGGGACUCUGGGCCGAUACUGACGCUGAGGAGCGAAAGCAUGGGUAGCGAACAGG